GACGAACGCUGGCGGCGUGCUUAACACAUGCAAGUCGAACGGAAAGGCCCCUUUGGGGGUACUCGAGUGGCGAACGGGUGAGUAACACGUGAGUAACCUGCCCUUGACUUCGGGAUAACUUCAGGAAACUGGGGUUAAUACCGGAUAGGAAUCCUUGCUGCAUGGUGGGGGUUGGAAAGCUUCGGCGGUUUUGGAUGGACUCGCGGCUUAUCAGCUUGUUGGUGGGGUAGUGGCUUACCAAGGCUUUGACGGGUAGCCGGCCUGAGAGGGCGACCGGCCACAUUGGGACUGAGAUACGGCCCAGACUCCUACGGGAGGCAGCAGUGGGGAAUAUUGCACAAUGGGCGGAAGCCUGAUGCAGCAACGCCGCGUGCGGGAUGACGGCCUUCGGGUUGUAAACCGCUUUCAGCAGGGGCGAAGCUUGUGGUGACGGUACCUGCAGAAGAAGCACCGGCUAACUACGU
rnacentral:rRNA from 1 species